AAACCAACCGGGAUUGCCUUAGUAACGGCGAGUGAACCGGCAAAAGCUCAAAUUUGAAAUCUGGCGUCUUCGACGUCCGAGUUGUAAUUUGAAGAAGGCGACUUUGUAGCUGGUCCUUGUCUAUGUUCCUUGGAACAGGACGUCAUAGAGGGUGAGAAUCCCGUGUGGCGAGGAUCCCAGUUAUUUGUUAAGUGCUCUCGACGAGUCGAGUUGUUUGGGAAUGCAGCUCUAAGUGGGUGGUAAAUUCCAUCUAAAGCUAAAUAUUGGCGAGAGACCGAUAGCGAACAAGUACAGUGAUGGAAAGAUGAAAAGAACUUUGAAAAGAGAGUGAAAAAGUACGAGAAAUUGUUGAAAGGGAAGGGCAUUUGAUCAGACAUGGUGUUUUGUGCCCUCUGCUCCUUGUGGGUAGGGGAAUCUCGCAUUUCACUGGGCCAGCAUCAGUUUUGGUGGCAGGAUAAAUCCAUAGGAAUGUAGCUUGCCUCGGUAAGUAUUAUAGCCUGUGGGAAUACUGCCAGCUGGGACUGAGGACUGCGACGUAAGUCAAGGAUGCUGGCAUAAUGGUUAUAUGCCGC
rnacentral:rRNA from 1 species